AUGAACCAUUCAUCUGAUAUUUUUCCUUCUAGUUGAGAUGUGUGACACAUCUCAACUAGAAGGAAAAAUAUCAGAUGAAUGGUUUAU
rnacentral:pre_miRNA from 1 species